GUGAGGAAUAUUGGUCAAUGGGCGGGAGCCUGAACCAGCCAAGUCGCGUGAAGGAAGAAGGAUCUAUGGUUCGUAAACUUCUUUUGCAGGGGAAUAAAGUGCAGGACGUGUCCUGUUUUGUAUGUACCCUGAGAAUAAGGAUCGGCUAACUCCGUGCCAGCAGCCGCGGUAAUACGGAGGAUCCGAGCGUUAUCCGGAUUUAUUGGGGUUAAAGGGUGCGUAGGUGGUUUGAUAAGUCAGCGGUGAAAGUUUGCAGCUUAACUGUAAAAAUGCCGUUGAAACUGUCGGACUUGAGUGUAAAUGAGGUAGGCGGAAUGCGUGGUGUAGCGGUGAAAUGCAUAGAUAUCACGCAGAACUCCGAUUGCGAAGGCAGCUUACUAAGCUACAACUGACACUGAAGCACGAAAGCGUGGGGAUCAAACAGGAUUAGAAACCCGUGUAGUCC
rnacentral:rRNA from 1 species